UGAAACCGCGAAUGGCUCAUUAAAUCAGCUAUGGUUUAUUGGAUCGUACCCGUUAAAUGGAUAACUGUAAUAACUCUAGAGCUAAUACAUGCCACGAAGCCCUGACCCCUUGCCGGGGAAUGGGUGCACUUAUUAGAUCAGAAGCCAACCAGUCUUACGUCGUGGUCGCCUCGGUGGCUGCGGCGUGGGCUGUAGAACUUCUGGUGACUCUGGAUAAUUGUUACAGAUCGCAGUCGGCCUUGAGUCGGCGACGGGUCCUUCAAAUGUCUGCCCUAUCAACUUUCGAUGGUAGGUGACCUGCCUACCAUGGUGAUAACGGGUAACGGGGAAUCAGGGUUCGAUUCCGGAGAGGGAGCCUGAGAAACGGCUACCACUUCCAAGGGAGGCAGCAGGCGCGCAAAUUACCCACUCCCAGCACGGGGAGGUGGUGACGAAAAAUACCGAUGCGGGACUCCAUAAUGAGGCUCCGUAAUCGGAAUGAGUGGACUCUAAAUCCUUUCACGAGGAUCAAUUGGAGGGCAAGUCUGGUGCCAGCAGCCGCGGUAACUCCAGCUCCAAUAGCGUAUAUUAAAGUUGCUGCAGUUAAAAAGCUCGUAGUUGGAUCUCGGUAGCAUUGGUGCCUGCGGAUAUUUGGACGUCAGUGUGUGGCUACUCGCCAGGCGUGUGUACAGUUAGGGCAUGCUGUGUGUGAGCGGCGGUUGCUUGUCAGUCGUCGUCUCACAGCAUGCAUUUGUCCGCUGUGCUUGCGUGCUGUGUGUAGUGGUCAUUGAAGAGCACUGUCGUAUCAAGUCCGCAAGGCAACGGUGUCACCUUUAAGCCAUGUCUGUGGCCUUACGGUUGCAGGUGUAGGCGGGUGUCGGGCGGCGCCUUGCACUAGUGUGGGGCCUAGUCGGCUCGUCUGCAUGCCUUUGGAUGCCCUUCACCGGGUGUCUGUGGGCGGAUGGCACGUUUACUUUGAACAAAUUUGAGUGCUCAAAUCAGGCCGAUGUUGCCUGAAAAGUUUUGCAUGGAAUAAUGGAAUAGGACUUCGGUUCUAUUUCGUUGGUUUUCGGAUCCGAAGUAAUGAUCAAAAGAGACAGGCGGGGACGUUUGUAUGGCUGCGAUAGAGGUGAAAUUCAUUGACCGUAGCCAGACAAACUAAAGCGAAAGCAUUCGUCAAGCAUGUUUUCAUUGGCCAUGAGCGAAAGUCAGAGGCUCGAAGACGAUCAGAUACCGUCCUAGUUCUGACCAUAAACGAUGCCAACUGACGAUCCGUGGUGGUAGUACUCAAACCUUCCCCACGGGCAGUCCCCGGGAAACCUUUAAGUCUAUGGGUUCCGGGGGAAGUAUGGUUGCAAAGCUGAAACUUAAAGGAAUUGACGGAAGGGCACCACCAGGAGUGGAGCCUGCGGCUUAAUUUGACUCAACACGGGAAAACUCACCCGGGCCGGACACUAUGAGGAUUGACAGAUUGAUAGCUCUUUCUUGAUUUGGUGGUUGGUGGUGCAUGGCCGUUCUUAGUUGGUGGAGCGAUUUGUCUGGUUAAUUCCGAUAACGAACGAGACUCCAGCCUGCUAAUUAGUGCAUUCGUCCACUGUACCUGUGUAGGUGGCAUUGGACCCGGUUGCUGAUGGUAGUGCCUGUAGGUUUCUGCUUGCACAUACGCGCCUCGUGUGUCGUGUGGGUGGGUAGGGCUUGUGGGUGCGCUAUUGCCAUCCGGCGAUCAGUCUGGUGUUAGCCUCCGGGUGCGGCGCGAAUGCUUACUUCUUAGAGGGACAAGUGGGAGAAGCCACACGAAAUAGAGCAAUAACAGGUCUGUGAUGCCCUUAGAUGUCCGGGGCCGCACGCGCGCUACAAUGGCGGUGUCAACGAGUCAGACCUUCUGGCCCGAAAGGGUUGGGUAAACUGGUCAAUCACCGUCAUGACAGGGAUCGGGGCUUGGAAUUAUUCCCCGUGAACGAGGAAUUCCUAGUAAGUGCAAGUCAUAAGCUUGCGCUGAUUACGUCCCUGCCCUUUGACACACCGCCCGUCGCUA
rnacentral:rRNA from 1 species